GGGGAACUGGACCUCAGCCAGAAAAAUGCAUCAAGAUAAUGUGUCCCUGACUUUGAAUUUUACGUGACUCUUUCUUGAUGGAAGGAGAAGCUUCUGGAAUCCUUCUGAAACACUGCUGAGUACCCUCAUCCCUAAGACAACUCUUGGAAGAUGUAGUGGAAAGAGGAUGGUGCAAAGUUCAGAAGUUGCAGGGGACUGAGAAGGGAGUGACUGGCAAAGAAGGCUGCAUAGAUGGUGAGCAAUGAGGCAAGAGAGAAGUUUUUAAAAACAGAAAAAUGUGAUUGCAUAAACAUCGUUGUUGGCAGGAGGACUCAGUGGAUUCAGAGCGUUCUUAUUUUGGUGGGAUGGGGACCAACACCUGAUGUCCAUAGAAAGCCCUGCAUGAGAACAGGAGAUAAAACUGCUAUUGGUCCUCCUGUUGUUAGGCACAGUUAUUCACAUGUGAAAAUCUCAGGAGCAGCUGGGUGGGGGGGAACAGCAACCUCACUGGUGUGUAAGAGAGCUCCAUCUUCCAAAAAGAAUUACAGCUGUGAUGUCACAGUUCAGGGUUCAGCGAGUUGUCAGCAGCCACUGUCUGAUGUUUCUAACCGAGCAUCAUAGCCUGUGCUCCUUUUUAAUUCUUUAAAGAAAAUUAAACAAAUAAUUAUUUCAGUUUUAAAAUACAUCGUGUCUGAAGAUGAAAAUAAAAAAGGAAAAUACCCCCA
rnacentral:lncRNA from 1 species